rnacentral:rRNA from 1 species
UACGGGGGGUGCAAGCGUUGUUCGGAAUUACUGGGCGUAAAGGGCGCGUAGGCGGGUGGACAAGUCUCUCGUGAAAGCCCACGGCUCAACCGUGGAAUUGCGGGAGAUACUGUCUGUCUUGAGUCCGGGAGAGGAGGGUGGAAUUCCCAGUGUAGCGGUGAAAUGCGUAGAUAUUGGGGGGAACACCGGUGGCGAAGGCGGCUCUCUGGACCUGUACUGACGCUGAGGCGCGAAAGCUAGGGGAGCAAACGGG